UACAGAGGUCCCAAGCGUUGUUCGGAUUCACUGGGCGUAAAGGGUGCGUAGGCGGUCGGGUAAGUCUGGCGUGAAAUCUCCAAGCCUAACUUGGAAACUGCGUUGGAUACUAUCCGGCUCGAGGAAUGGAGGGGAGACUGGAAUACUUGGUGUAGCAGUGAAAUGCGUAGAUAUCAAGUGGAACACCAGUGGCGAAGGCGAGUCUCUGGACAUUUCCUGACGCUGAGGCACGAAAGCGUGGGGAUCAAACAGG
rnacentral:rRNA from 1 species